ACGCCUUGCCAAGAGGUAAACUUGAUAGUUAUCCUUUCCCUUUCAAUUAUUUAAAAUAGUUUGCUUAGUUAAUCAUGUUUAUACUAUCUAAAAAAGGAAAUAAAAAUGUUAAAAAACAGUAAGCCCCAUGUGAGUAUAUGAGUGGCAUAAAAGCCAUAAGUACAUUCACUAUGGUGUCAUAAAAAUAAAAUAAAUAUUUUUUCUGCUUUAUAAAAUGAAAAUAUAAAAAUAGGGAGUAAUAGUUAUUGAGGAGUCUCAACAUGAUAAAGGCUAGAUAUUUAUGCUAACACUUAAUCAGUUCCACAAAGCUUUGUUGUCUAUUUGAGCUCCACAUAAUUUAAGAAUCAAGAAGACUAGC
rnacentral:lncRNA from 1 species